AACGCACCUUGCGCUCCUUGGUAUUCCGAGGAGCAUGCCUGUUUGAGUGUCAUUAAAUUCUCAACCUCUCUAGUUUUUUGACUAGUAGAUGGCUUGGAUUUGGGAGUAAUUUUGCAGGCUUUCACAAGUCAGCUCUCCUUAAAUGUAUUAGCCGGUGCCCUCUAACCGUCUAUUGGUGUGAUAAUUAUCUACGCCGUGGACUAUUAGACUUUGGUUGCACUGCUUAUAAUCGUCCUUUGGACAAUCUAAUGACAUUUUGACCUCAAAUCAGGUAGGACUACCCGCUGAACUUAA
rnacentral:misc_RNA from 1 species